rnacentral:lncRNA from 1 species
GGACCCGCUGCCGGGGCGUGGGGGGCCCGCUGGUCCAGAGAGCUGAGAGGAAGGCGAGGAAGUGACAGUCCCUGGCUGCACAACUCUCUCUGAGGCCAGCAGGGCGCUGCCACGGUACCUCAUCUACCUCCCCUGAGCCUCAGUUUCCCCAAAUAAUGCGAGGAAUCGAAAGAAGACUCUGUUGCAAGGACAACGAGGUUGCAUCGGAGCUCCCGUUACCCUUGGCCUCAGUUUACCCAAGUAGUGCAAACAACCCAGGAAAGGAAGAGAAUGGGUAUUUGCGAGGAUCAGGAGUCUGCAUCUGAGCUCCGGGUUCCCUAAACGCCACCAUAAGCCUCAGUUUACCCAAACUGCGAAGAGCCCAGAGUUUGCAAGGCUGUUUCAGAGUGUCGGUUCUCCGUCCAACCCCCUCUUCUGCGCCUCAAUUUGCCCAGAGUCGUACCGGGGACCCCCGAGGGGGAGACUUGCAGGGCCGCGAGGUGUCAGCUGAGCUCGGGGGUCCCGCCCUCACCGGUACAGCCAGCCAGCAAACCUGCCGCCCCGCGAUUACAUAAAACAGUCGCCUCCACCCGGCUGUGCCAGGGGCGUAGCGCGGGGAAGGGGUUGGCGAGGGGCGGGGAAGGACGGUUGUUUUCCAGGCCUUGUAAUUUUCCCUGCAGCCGGCUGACUGGCCCGGCUGGUGUGGGGCGUAGACCGGGACCCUCGCAGGGGCGCCGCGCCGGGCAGGACGGAGGUGGGGAGUGGGAAAGUGCGGAGCAACCCAACGGCUUUUGUUUUCCUUUUUUCCCUUUUUUUUUUUUAACCCCCUUGUCCUUUUCUCUCCCACUUCCUCUCUGGUCGUGGGAGAGGUCCGGAGAGGGAGGGGAAGGCAGAGGAGGGGACCGGGCGACAGCCCGGUUCACCAGGCCUACUGGGCUCGGGUUCCAGCACGCCACAGCCACCAGACGACCUGGCUGUGGGUCUGGCUCGCAGGAGGGGGCAGAGCGGGGAGUGGGAACUAGCGCCU